rnacentral:rRNA from 1 species
UACAGAGGUCCCGAGCGUUGUUCGGAUUCACUGGGCGUAAAGGGUGCGUAGGUGGUUGGGCAAGUCUGAUGUGAAAUCUCCGGGCUUAACCCGGAAAUGGCAUUGGAAACUGCCUGGCUAGAGUGUUGGAGGGGGGACUGGAAUUCUCGGUGUAGCAGUGAAAUGCGUAGAUAUCGAGAGGAACACCAGUGGCGAAGGCGAGUCCCUGGACAACGACUGAUACUGAGGCACGAAAGCUAGGGGAGCAAACAGG